rnacentral:rRNA from 1 species
GAUGAACGCUAGCGGCAGGCCUAACACAUGCAAGUCGAGGGGUAGAGGAAGCUUGCUUCCUUGAGACCGGCGCACGGGUGCGUAACGCGUAUGCAAUCUACCUUUUACAGAGGGAUAGCCCAGAGAAAUUUGGAUUAAUACCUCAUAGUAUCUUUGCCUGGCAUCGGGUGAUUAUUAAAGUUCCAACGGUAAAAGAUGAGCAUGCGUUCUAUUAGCUAGAUGGUAAGGUAACGGCUUACCAUGGCAACGAUAGGUAGGGGUCCUGAGAGGGAGAACCCCCACACUGGUACUGGGAGACGGACCAGACUCCUACGGGAGGCAGCAGUGAGGAAUAUUGGACAAUGGGCGCAAGCCUGAUCCAGCCAUGCCGCGUGCAGGAAGACGGUCCUAUGGAUUGUAAACUGCUUUUGUACGGGAAGAAACACUCCUACGUGUAGGAGCUUGACGGUACCGUAAGAAUAAGGAUCGGCUAACUCCGUGCCAGCAGCCGCAGUAAUAC